rnacentral:lncRNA from 1 species
AAAUGAUCAGAUGACUACUUAGGGAGCUACCAUUUGAUUUUUAUGGGGGGGGGGGGGGCUAGGAUGAAAAAUUUUGUCCUGCAUUUUUUUUUUAGCUGUAAUCUCUGUCCUGCCUUUUUAUUUUUCACUCUGUUCGGUCCUGCCUUUUUUUUUUUAGUUUAUCCCGACUUUUUUUUACCUAAAUUGUCGUCCUGACUUUUUUUUUUUGCAAGUGUCUCAUCCUGCCUUUUUUUUUACUCAAAAUUCCUGUCCUGCCUAUUUUUUUCAAAUUCGACCUAGCCCCCCCCCCCCCCCCAUAAAAAUCAAAUGGUAGCUCCCUUACAGGAUUAUUGUCCCUGAAUAUUUACAUUGUACUAUUACAUCUACAAAAUGGCCAAUUUAACUGAAAACAUCAAGUGACUAGGUUUAAGAAUAUUGUCCUUCAAACAGGAUUUUUGACAGCAUUGAAUGUUUUUAGGUGAAGAUUGCAUGAAAUGCAAUCAAAACCUUAUGGGACUGACUUGAUAUCUAAAUAUUCCAAGACUUAUCACAACCUUUUCUGAUACACAAAAUAUAGUGUAUUGAUCAUAACAUUCUAUACAUCCUAUCCAUAAACAUUUCCAGAUAUUUAUCAAUGUAAUAUAUGCUCAGAUAUUCAAGGC